AGAUGCCAGAAAUCUGGGCAGUAAACUUUGCUCAUUUAUAUUCUGGAAGCCUGACACCAGCUAGGAAAUAGCUGACACACAGAUGAACGACAAGAUCUAUAGGUCUCAACUGGUUCUGGUCUUGAGUGUGGCAGCAGCACAGCACCCAGCAGCAGAGGCUUGUCCUCUGCAGAACAGUGCCCAGCACUUCCCAGGGCUGGCCACUCUGAUGCUGAGUGCCCCAAAGGAGCCUGUUUAA
rnacentral:lncRNA from 1 species